AUUCAGCUGACAAGUCCCGAAUAAGACAAAACGCGCGUCCUGAGU
rnacentral:hammerhead_ribozyme from 1 species